GUGGCUCAGACGGUAAAGCGUCUGCCUACAAUGCGGGAGACCCAGGUUCAAUCCCUGGC
rnacentral:tRNA from 1 species